UAGGGAAUCUUCGGCAAUGGGGGGAACCCUGACCGAGCAACGCCGCGUGAGUGAAGAAGGUUUUCGGAUCGUAAAGCUCUGUUGUUAAGGAUGAACGAGUGUGAGAAUGGAAAGUUCAUGCUGUGACGGUACUUAACCAGAAAGGGACGGCUAACUACGUGCCAGCAGCCGCGGUAAUACGAAGGUGGCAAGCGUUGUCCGGAUUUAGUGGGCGUAAAGCGAGGGCAGGCGGUCAAUUAAGUCUGAUGAGAAAGCCCCCGGCUCAACCGGGGAGGGUUAUUGGAAAGUGGUUGACUUGAGUGCAGAAGAGGAGAGUGGAAUUCGAGGUGUAGCGGUGAAAUGCGUGGAUAUAUGGAGGAACGCCAGUGGCGAAGGCGACUCUCUGGGCUGUAACUGACGCUGGGGCUCGAAAGCGUGGGUAGCAAACAGG
rnacentral:rRNA from 1 species